GAAAAAAAGAGCUCAUUCAUCAGAAUUUGAUCACAGCCUCAGAUUUUCUUCUGUUGUUAGUGAAAGAAAAGCAGUUCCACUAAAAAAAAAUCAGAGACCGUUCGUUUCUUUCUUCUCAGUUAUCUCUCUCUCUGCGAAGAUUAGGAGAGUGAAAUGAGGGGUAGAAGUUACAGCUACAGUCCUUCACCACCAAGGGGUUAUGGCCGAAGACGGCGUAGCCCCAGCCCUAGGGGCCGCCGUGGAGGUCGUGGUAGAGAUCUUCCUACAAGUCUCUUGGUUCGGAACCUUCGCCUUGACUGCAGGCCAGAAGAUCUACGAGGACCAUUUGGGCAGUUUGGCCAGCUCAAGGACAUUUACUUGCCCCGAGAUUAUUAUACUGGGUAAGCAAAGCACGUCAUCAUGUAUUGGCUGAUAUGGUUUGUGAAUCUUGCAAACCUUUUGUUUGUGUAUAGUCUUUUUAUUCUGCCAGGUUUAGGCGAACUUUCACUUAUUGAUUUUUGUCCAAUUGUUUGUCUUCAUGCUGUCUCAAUUGAAUGUGAUGAUGGGGUCCACCCUUCUUUUUUUAAAUUAAUUAUAUACAAUCAGUUUAUGGGUAUUUGGCUGUUUUUAUUGAAAGUGUUGAAGACACCAAUGAAGUAAUAAGAGUACUGUGUUGAAGACAACAAUGAAGUAAUAAGAGGUGUUGAAGACACCAAUCAAGUAAAUAAGGGGUACUGUUGAAGAUGUUCUUAAUGUAGAUGAAGAUUCGAAGGAAGUUGGGUUUGUAUACAUUGAGAAGAAUUUCAGGUCUUGAAGAAUUUCAUCUCAAUUUUAACUUUUUCUCCCACAAGGGAGCCUCGUGGCUUUGGGUUUGUGCAGUAUGUAGACCCGGAUGAUGCUGCAGAUGCAAAAUAUCAUAUGGAUGGUCAGAUUCUUCUUGGUCGUGAAUUGACAGUUGUAUUUGCUGAGGAGAACAGAAAGAAGCCUGUGGAAAUGAGGGCCAGAGAACGUGUUAGGGGUCGUGUAUAUGACAGGAGGCGGUCUCCACCUCGCUACUCUAGAUCACCACGCUAUGCACGAGCUUACUCUCGUAGUCCAGAUUAUUAUUCCCCUUCCCCUAGACGGAGGCGUUACUCAAGGUCGAUUUCACCUGGAGACAGAAGGUAUAGGGAGCGGUCUUACUCAAGGUCGCCUUAUGUGUCAAGGAGGCGGAGCAGGAGCAGGAGCCGUAGCUGUAGCCAGAGCUUCAGUAGGAGCCGCAGUAGAAGCCAAGAUUACUCUUCUUAAUUAGUUAAUGGUAGUCUAUAAUAGUAUUGUAUUAAAAGCAAAAAUUCUAUAUGUUACAAGUUUGAGUUCAAGUAGCUUUGCUUUGAUGUACUAUCUUUAAUUGAUCUUGGGGGUUACCAGAGAUGGUGCUUUGGUAGACUCCUGCAGACUAGCUAUCAUACUAUUUUGGUAGCGUUUUAAUUGUACUGAUGGUACUUAAAAGUCUCUGUUUUAUUUGGCUAAUCAUGGUACUCGGGUCUUUAUUCAUUUA